rnacentral:rRNA from 1 species
UUGGAGGGCAAGUCUGGUGCCAGCAGCCGCGGUAAUUCCAGCUCCAAUAGCGUAUAUUAAAGUUGUUGCAGUUAAAAAGCUCGUAGUUGAAUUUCGGGAUCAGUAUGUCGGUCGUGCUUUGGUACGUACUGUCAUUACUGGUUUCUCCCUUCUGAAGAACCUUGAUGUCAUUAAUUUGGUGUCUUGGGGAAUCAGGACUGUUACUUUGAAAAAAUUAGAGUGUUUAAAGCAGGCAUACGCUUGAAUACAUUAGCAUGGAAUAAUGAAAUAGGACGUUUGAUUCUAUUUUGUUGGUUUCUAGGAUCGACGUAAUGAUUAAUAGGGAUAGUUGGGGGCAUUAGUAUUCAAUUGUCAGAGGUGAAAUUCUUGGAUUUAUUGAAGACUAACUACUGCGAAAGCAUUUGCCAAGGAUGUUUUCAUUAAUCAAGAACGAAAGUUAGGGGAUCGAAGACGAUCAGAUACCGUCGUAGUCUUAACCAUAAACUAUGCCGACUAGGGAUCGGAUGAUGUUAUUUUUAAUGACUCAUUCGGCGCCUUACGGGAAACCAAAGUGUUUGGGUUC